CCGGUCUCGGUCUCGACCAUCACAAUUGAUAAUUCCCUAUGGGUAUGAAAGGAGGCGUAAGUCAAGCGCCAGGGCGGAAACACCAAAACGUUUCUUUAACCGGAAAGCAAACUUUUAUUUUCGUUUAUUAAAAGCAGAAGGCCAGCAGGAAAGGGUAGCCAAGGGUUGACCCGUCCGUGGGUCUUGCAGAUCUAACAGCUCAGGACAAGACUGGCAGAUCCGGGAAUCACAUUCAGCGCCCAGUCCAGCAAGCUCGUGGAUAGGUGCGGGUUAGAGAGAGACUCGGGAGGAGCGGCAGCCCCGCCGGGAACCCCUCCUUGCGCAUCUCCGGCGACCCCAGCUUCAGCCGCCUCUCGCCUGGAUGCUUUGUUUAUGUGGUGAAAGGAGGAAACGUGGAGCGAUCCAAGCGCAGUUUUUUUUUUUCCUUUUAACUAAAUGUGCGUGUAAUCUCAACGUUUCUCGGAUGUGUGUCCUCAGUGAACUCGACGUUCUUGGGGGAAACCUAUGAACACGGAGCAGGACACGAAAAGCCAACUCUGGUUGUGGUACCAUCUGCAGUGAAAGCCUUCUCGUGGCUCUUCCCUACUCCGCGUCCUGGAGCGGGGCAGAGGAAGACACCCAAGUGCAUCAGUGUUUAUCAGAUGCCAGAAGUGAAAUCUCUUCUCCACCCCCUGUAGAGUGUGGGCUGGCCUUGAUGACUUACUUCAACAAAUUUGAUACGGUGGAAGUGGUGGUGUCCCAGUUCCUCAAGAAGCUUUGCAGCUUCCACCUUUAUUCCCUUGGUGUGGAGAAGCCUAAGAUGAAAGACCAUGAAGAGAGAAAGGGCCCUGGCUGUUUCAGCUCUCCCUACUGAGCCUAGCCCCUCACACACCUGCUAACUGAUUGCUGCCUCGUGAGCCCAGGCAAAAUCAAGAGAAGAUGUUCUGAAUCUCGAGCAGAAUCAUGAAAAAGAACAGAUCAUUGUUUUAAGCCACUAAGAUUUGAGGUUUGUUACACAGCAACAGAUAACCAUACUUGUCUUAUUAUCUGCAAUUAUAACAAUCAUAAAAC